UGCAGUCGACGAAUCCCUUGUAGCAAUAUGAGGGGGAAGUGGCGAAAGGGGCAGUAAGGCAUGGGUAACCUACCUCGGGGACUGGGAUAGCCUUCCUAACGGAAGGGUAAUACCGGGCGAUGUAGCGUGGAGACAUCUCCGUACUACGAAAUGAAUUUCGCCUCGAGAGGGGCCCAUGUAGUAUUAGCUAGUUGGUGAGGUAACGGCUCACCAAGGCCAAGAUGCUUAGCGGGUGUGAGAGCACGACCCGCGCCACUGGCACUGUGACACUGGCCAGACUCCUACGGGAGGCUGCAGUCGAGGAUCUUCGGCAAUGGGCGCAAGCCUGACCGAGCGACGCCGCGUGUGCGAUGAAGGCCUUCGGGUUGUAAAGCACUGUCGAGGGGGAUAAAGGCGCAAGCUUGAUAGAUCCCUGGAGGAAGCACGGGCUAAGUUCGUGCCAGCAGCCGCGGUAAGACGAACCGUGCGAACGUUGUUCGGAAUCACUGGGCUUAAAGGGUGCGUAGGCGGGGUGGCAAGUCUGUGGUGAAAUCCUCCGGCUCAACCGGAGAACUGCCGUGGAUACUGCUACUCUCGAGGGGUGUAGGGGCAUGUGGAACUCAGGGUGGAGCGGUGAAAUGCGUAGAUAUCCUGAGGAACGCCGGUGGCGAAAGCGACGUGCUGGACACCUUCUGACGCUGAGGCACGAAAGCCAGGGGAGCGAACGGGAUUAGAUACCCCGGUAGUCCUGGCCCUAAACGAUGGGUACUAGAUUGUGGGCUGGACAUGGGCCACAGUCGAAGCAAAAGUGAUAAGUACCCCGCCUGGGGAGUAUGGUCGCAAGGCUGAAACUCAAAGGAAUUGACGGGGGCUCACACAAGCGGUGGAGCGUGUGGCUUAAUUCGAGGCUACGCGAAGAACCUUAUCCUGGGCUUGACAUGUGCGAAAGCGGUAGGAAGUACCCUGCGGAAACGUAAGGGGAACGGUAUCCAGUCCGGAACCUACUACAGGUGCUGCAUGGCUGUCGUCAGCUCGUGUCGUGAGAUGUUGGGUUAAGUCCCGUAACGAGCGAAACCCUUGUCUCCAGUUGCCAGCGGGUAAUGCC
rnacentral:rRNA from 1 species